rnacentral:lncRNA from 1 species
GAAAAAAAUUGGAAGGGCCGAGAGACAAACUUGCGAAGGCCAUGACUGGUGGUUUUAAGAGUUCCAUUAAUUGGUUGUAUUGUUCGGUAGAGAGACCAUGGGCGACACUUGUGGUUGGGGUCUGGUCGACAGCGACUUGGUGCACCGCUGGAGAAGAAAAACGAGCAACCCGAGGCUAACUUCAUGGUGGAGGUUUGUUCUUUGAAGGCCACCAAUCUGGGUAUCCUAAAAUCUCGAAACAUUUGUCACGUGUGUGACUCGGCCUACCACAUUCUUCACAAUUGGGCGUCCCAGUCUGCCAGACGCGAUGAGGACGGGAGGUGGCUCGCUGCUGUAAGCAAGCAAGGAAAGUGGAAAUCUCUGGCUGAGAGGUGGUCGAUUGGACCAGUCAUUGUGUCUCUUCUUGAUGUAGAAUGGCGUAACAACAGCCAAUUGAUGGGAGUGGUUCCGUAGCCAGAAUUUGUGACCGGAGUUGCUGGAAGCUACCAUUUAGACCCAUGAGGAAUUGGUAGAUUCGGUCAAAUUCCUGGGUCUCAGAGAGUGAUUUAGAUGCACCGCAAGUGCACGAAACUGUGGGUUGUAGAGAAGCUAAUUCAUCCCAUAAUUCCUUCAACCGUCCAUAGUAAGUAGUGAUUGAUUGUUUUUCUUGAUGGAGGUUUGCUAAAUCUCGUUUCAAGCAAAAUAUUUUGGUGCGGUUACUUUGAUAGAAAUGGGUUUCUAGUUCAACCCAUAAAUCGUUUGUUGUGUCGCAAUAUAGGAAGCUACCUGUGAGGGAUCUAUCGAUAGAAUGGAAGAGCGAAGACAUUAUCAUGUCACAGCAUCUGUCCCAAAGAAGAGCAGCAACAGCGUCAUCGGUUGGUCGUUUGAUAGUGCUAAGAACGAAACCCAGUUUGUUCUUGGCGUUCAGUGCACGAGUUAUUGCUCAGCGCCAAGCAGGGUAGUUAUCCCCAUUGAGAGGCACAUCGACGAGAAAUUGAUUGGGUUGGUCAAAUGACUGUAAGUAGUAUGGGGAGGUAGCAUCGGUGAGGGAUUUCAAAGCAUCAGGGGCGGCCGCAUGUGUGGUUGAAUCUGCCAUGGUAAAGGUAUGGAUUGUUCAAACCUUCGGCUCUGAUACCAUGUUAGAAUUUGGUAGAAUAUAAUUUACGAAUGAAGAAUUCCUUCUCAUUGAUUAAAUGAAUACGUUACAACUCUUCUUAUAAUGAAAGAAAACGUGUGUGUAUCUAAUGUAGGAAAGAAAAUAUUAUGUAAUAAAACAAUGCAAUUGAUAAGGAAAGAAUUUUUCUAAAUAUGUAAUUAGUCAAUAAACAAUGCGUGCAAUGAGUGUUGCACGAGUUAAGAAGACUAACACUCUUUAUAUGACCACGAGGUUUCGCCGGACAGUUUCAUUGACAUCUAACAAAUUGAAAGAAGGAUUCGAUAUUAAUGUAAAAUUUGACAGGUUAAAAUUUAAAAAAUAUAGGGGAAAAAAAGUAGUAUGUGGCAGUCAAACAAUCUAUAAUAUAAUCAUUCAAUGAACAAUAAGAUUUCUAGUUUAUAUAAUUUUCAUAUACUUCGAAAAAAUGUCAAUGGUUUGUGAUCGAAUAUAUAUAUACCUACAGAAAUUACAAAGAAAUAUUAUUCUAUACUACAAGGCAAUCUAAUUAGGCCAUCAAUAGCCUUGAGAAAAGGCACACAAAAUUAUUCAACUAACUUCUUUUUGUUCUUCACAGAUUUUGGAGAAUACAUAGUCAACUUAUUAUAGACUUGUUCUUUACAUCGGAAGUGUACACUGACGCCUAGUAGUCAAGAUUUAAUUGAUAAUUUAUGAAUUGUAUCUAUUAUGAUCCAGUUCCUUGACAACAUAUACACCACCAUAAAGAAGAUGCAUGAAUGCACAACAAAGGAAUUCUUAUAACCAAGCAUUCAUUUCAUUGGAAUAUUGAGAUAGUGGUUUGCACUAUUAUUAUUGCAUGCCCAUGUCGUAAAAUGGAAAAAGAAAUGAUAGUUGAGACAACGUUAAAGCAUUUUUAAAUUCAGUUCGCGUGCCUCUUUCAAGUAUAUCGUGGUCUACAGGAGGUAAAGCGCCUAUUUCGAAGUAAUUUAUGUUUUUUCCUCCACAACCAAACAAUUGAAGAAAAUUAAAAUAUGUAUUGCUGUUAUUGUUAUCCCACAAUCUACAAAUUUUAUUGACUUUCUACAAGAAAAUUCUUGAGAAAUUACAAAGCAAAAUUAUUUUAUACAAGGCACUCUAACUAGACCAUCCAAAGCCUUGAAAACAGGCACAAAAAAUUAUUCAGUUACAUUAAGUUGAGAAAAUUAAGGAUCUCAUAAUAAAUUAAAGUCUUCUUUCUGUUCUUCACAGAUUUGGGGAUACAUACCCAGCUUAUUAUAGACUUGUGGACGUUGUGGAAG